rnacentral:rRNA from 1 species
CAGCCGCCGCGGGAAUACGGAGGGUGCAAGCGUUGAUCGGAAUUACUGGGCGUAAAGCGCACGCAGGCGGUUUGUUAAGUCAGAUGUGAAAUCCCCGGGCUCAACCUGGGAACUGCAUUUGAAACUGGCAAGCUAGAGUCUCGUAGAGGGGGGUAGAAUUCCAGGUGUAGCGGUGAAAUGCGUAGAGAUCUGGAGGAAUACCGGUGGCGAAGGCGGCCCCCUGGACGAAGACUGACGCUCAGGUGCGAAAGCGUGGGGAGCAAACAGGAUUAGAUACCCCAGUAGUCCCUGUCUCUUAUAC